GAUGAACGCUGGCGGCGUGCCUAAUACAUGCAAGUCGAGCGAACGGACGAGAAGCUUGCUUCUCUGAUGUUAGCGGCGGACGGGUGAGUAACACGUGGAUAACCUACCUAUAAGACUGGGAUAACUUCGGGAAACCGUAGCUAAUACCGGAUAAUAUUUUGAACCGCAUGGUUCAAAAGUGAAAGACGGUCUUGCUGUCACUUAUAGAUGGAUCCGCGCUGCAUUAGCUAGUUGGUAAGGUAACGGCUUACCAAGGCAACGAUGCAUAGCCGACCUGAGAGGGUGAUCGGCCACCCGGGAACUGAGACACGGUCCAGACUCCUACGGGAGGCAGCAGUAGGGAAUCUUACGCAAUGGGCGAAAGCCUGACGGAGCAACGCCGCGUGAGUGAUGAAGGUCUUCGGAUCGUAAAACGCUGUUAUUAGGGAAGAACAUAUGUGUAAGUAACUGUGCACAUCUUGACGGUACCUAAUCAGAAAGCCACGGCUAACUACGUG
rnacentral:rRNA from 1 species